rnacentral:rRNA from 1 species
GAUGAACGCUGGCGGCGUGCCUAAUACAUGCAAGUCGAGCGAACAGACGAGGAUCUUGCUCCUCUGACGUUAGCGGCGGACGGGUGAGUAACACGUGGAUAACCUACCUAUAAGACUGGGAUAACUUCGGGAAACCGGAGCUAAUACCGGAUAAUAUAUUGAACCGCAUGGUUCAAUAGUGAAAGACGGUUUUGCUGUCACUUAUAGAUGGAUCCGCGCUGCAUUAGCUAGUUGGUAAGGUAACGGCUUACCAAGGCAACGAUGCGUAGCCGACCUGAGAGGGUGAUCGGCCACACUGGAACGGGGACACGGUCCAGACUCCUACGGGAGGCAGCAGUAGGGAAUCUGCCGCAAUGGGCGAAAGCCUGACGGAGCAACGCCGCGUGAGUGAUGAAGGUCUUCGGAUCGUAAAACUCUGUUAUUAGGGAAGAACAAAUGUGUAAGUAACUAUGCACGUCUUGACGGUACCUAAUCAGAAAGCCACGGCUAACUACGUG